rnacentral:rRNA from 1 species
UAGGAUUAGAUACCCUAUUAUUGAAAAAGUAAAUAAAAAAUACUAAAAUAUUAUAUAAUUAUUUAUUGAAACUUAAAUAAUUUGGCGGUAUUUUAGUUCAUUUAGAGGAAUCUGUUUAAUAAUUGAUAAUCCACGAAUAAAUUUACUUAAUUUAAAAUUUUGUAUAUCGUUGUUAUAUAAAUAUUUUUAAAUAAUUAAUAAUAUUUAAAAAUUUAAUUAAAAAAUUAAAUUAGAUCAAGAUGCAGAUUAUAAUUAAGUAUAUAAUGGAUUACAAUAAAAAUAUUUAAGAUGAAUAUUAAUUUUUAAUAAUUAAUUGAAGGUGGAUUUAAA